GAACGGUGGCGCGCGACUCUCACUAAAACGCGCUGAGAAGACGGCACUCGCACUCGCAGUGAUUGAGUAUCGAUCGUGGGCGUGGCCGUAAGCGGGUUUCUGAGACGUGAUUGGCUAUUAUGGUGGGCGUGAGGAACGCCGGGCUGGAGAGCUGUGGAAAUCGCACACCCUCACAGUGAAAAGCUUUAAGGAGGAGAGAGUGGCCUGGGCGGUUUAGGCGGCUGUCAGCAGGCGCAGUGAAAGACAAAGAUGAAGACCCCCUGGAAGGCGUUGAAGGUAGUGAAGAGAUAGGCCAUGACUACUGACUCUUUGUUGAUGAAGAGGAGGCCGAAAGCCCAGGUGUCCUCAAACAGACUCAUGCUAACUCCGCAGGCCUGCAAGCACAGACUGGGUGGACUGUGGCCCUUUCCGGCUCUGUUGAAUACGGCCAUCCCAGCCAGCAGCUACAAAGAAACACAACCAGAGUGGGAAGAUGCCUGAAAGCCCAGCCACCCUGCCCUGGCCCAAAGAAAGCCAGCCACUCAAGAACGAAGAAGAUGGAGAACACAGGGACAACAGGACGACUCACGCCUUUUCAGUGCCGUAGCUUCGGUAGUCAAUGGCUGCUGCGAUGCCGACCACCAGGGCUGGGAAGCAGUAGCCACCUAGGAAGAGCAGCUCCGCAAGGAAGAGGUUGAUGCACAGAUUCUUGUGGAUGGUGUUGCGGUCAGUCUGCAAGCCCCGCAGGAAGCAGAAGGUGGAGAUGCAGAUAGCCAGACAGACCAGGGAGAUGACAAUACCAACCCAGGUGAUGACUGACAGCAGCAGCUCAUUAAUACGGCCUUGGUACUGGGGACAGAAAGAGGUGCAUUCAGGGCGUGGCCAGGUGCCAGCCAAAGGCCAGGACCCAGGCAAGGCUGUGGGCCACAAGGCCCUCUAGUGCUGCCCAACUGGCCACCAAGCUGGCCCCUACCCAUGUGGCAGUGCAGGCUCACUUCCUUAUGCUCUGGAAGGCUUGUGAUACCAACUUGCUUCUCCAGAGUGCCUUGGGGCCGGAGGGAGCCAGAUGCAAGGCCUCAUGCCCCAGGUAAGACUGGUGAUCCCCCACCCCAAGCCUAUGAGCUGGCCUCAUAGGCAUCGCCCAUGCUGUGUGUUCUCUAGAAUGCCAUGCAAAGCCAGGCCAGCACCAAGCAAGCCCACCCGGACAGCAGAGCACCAGCCAGCUUACGAUCUCUCGGUGAGCCAUGAGCACUGCGAAGUUGGUGAGGUGGCUGCAGGCACAUGUGGUAUGGGUCUUAUUGGACUCCACCAAUCGGCAGCCCUGGGUUGACCAGUAGCCCAGCAUGGAGCGCUCUGAGUAGUUCCAGAAGGAGCAGUUUGCAUUGAAGUGGUUCUUGGCCUGUUAUAUAGUGAUGGACAGAGUGUCGAAAUUGCAAGUUCUGUUCUUCCCCUCAUACCAGCUACAGGGAACAGUGACAAGCUUGAAGGAAAUGUUUGGGGACCCUGAGGUGACCACCAGCUUUAUGGUCCAAGCUGAAGCUCGCUCUCAGGUGGGUGACACAUGGUGGGGAUAUGUAGUCUAGGGACAGAGGAUUCUGGGACUUCAGGUAGGUUGAGGGGUGCACCUGGACUCACCUCCAAGUGGGCUACAGUAAAGAUGACAGGGUCCAUGAGGAAGACGCGGCUAGACUCCUUAUUGAUAGAUGCUGCGAUGACCUGUGAGUUGACCACCAGGGAGGCACCUCCAGGGCCACCUGUCCCUGCCUCACCUGCCAGCUUCACUGUGGCAUUCUCCGUGGACAAGAAGAGGCCCAGGUUGUUGUAGAGAAUGAAGACAACUUUCACCACACCUAAGGAAGAUGGGCCCAGGGAGAUACAGUGGCCAUCCUUAGCCACAGCCCUCUAUCCUGGCUCCAUGGCUCUCAGAUACACUGAAACUGGGCUGUCACAUGCCAAGCAGCUCAGGAGCCACUUCCACAAGGCCAUUAUCUCUCGGUGGGCAGUUUAAAUGACAGCACAGUGGCUGGUUCUCUGACCCACUUUUACGGUCUUUUUUUUUAAUUUGUAAAGAUUUAUUUAUUUACCGUCUCACCAGCCCCACUUUUACUUUUUGUACGCCCUUGGGCAGAUCCCUAGCCUCUCUAUGCCUCCAUCUCAAAGGGAGCCAGAACCCAGACUUCUGCAGAGCGUUGGAACAUCCACACUAGUGGCAGAUACACCCCCAUUAAACACAUGACUACUGUGUGUCCCAUACCGAGAUCAAGAUGCAAAGUGGCCCACAUGCACGCAGAGGAAAGCCCGUGGGACACUGACCGUUGCGGCUGUUCUGCUUGAUGGUGUUGGCGGAGAGCUGAAUGGAGUUCUCACUGGGAUACUCUUGGGGGAACACCAACUCCUGCACUUGGCCCUCCGUGUUCAGCACAGUUACCUCCAGGACUGUGUGGGCAGGGAAGACAUGCUGUCAGUGUCUACCCUCAGGCAGGACUCAUGCUAAACCCUGAGGCCCGUGGCAAAACCACAGGCCCAGGAAUCAACACCCUCUGCCAGAGUUUGAGACUGAGCCUGGGAUAGUUGCAGUACGCACCCACGUUCUGCUUGGCAGCCAAGAAGCGAGCAGGUUCUCUGACAUUGUCAGCCAGCAGGAAGGCACCCUCCUCCAGGACAUCUAGAAGCAUGGUGGCUGUAUGAACCUGUUCGGUGGCAUUCAUGUCUUUCCAUGACUCAAGCGCCUCCGGCCGAAGCAGGUUAUCCACUGUCUCCACCACAGCCUGUGGGUAGCAAGGACAAUAGAAUAAGUCUCCCACAUCCUCUAGUGACUUGAUGUCCCUUCCUCUCCCUUCCAGGGCCCCUCAUUCCUGGGCUCACCUUGAUGUAGUCCUUGCAGGUUCUCUCUCGCUUGUGCAUCUAGAGAAAGAAAUGGAAGGAGUAAUAAAUGGAGUCUGCAGGCAA
rnacentral:lncRNA from 1 species